rnacentral:rRNA from 1 species
GAUCAUGGCUCAGGAUGAACGCUAGCUACAGGCUUAACACAUGCAAGUCGAGGGGCAGCAUGGUCUUAGCUUGCUAAGGCCGAUGGCGACCGGCGCACGGGUGAGUAACGCGUAUCCAACCUGCCUUACGACUCUUGGACAGCCUUCUGAAAGGGAGAUUAAUACAAGAUGUUAUCAUGAGUAAGCAUUUUCGCGUGAUUAAAGGUUUACCGGUGUAAGAUGGGGAUGCGUU